rnacentral:rRNA from 1 species
CAGUAGCCGCGGUAAUACGUAGGGUGCAAGCGUUAAUCGGAAUUACUGGGCGUAAAGCGUGCGCAGGCGGUUGUGUAAGUCUGAUGUGAAAGCCCCGGGCUCAACCUGGGAACUGCAUUGGAGACUGCACGGCUAGAGCGCGCCAGAGGGGGGUAGAAUUCCACGUGUAGCAGUGAAAUGCGUAGAUAUGUGGAGGAAUACCGAUGGCGAAGGCAGCCCCCUGGGAUAACACUGACGCUCAUGCACGAAAGCGUGGGGAGCAAACAGGAUUAGAUACCCGUGUAGUCCCUGUCUCUUAUAC